AGUUAGUUGAAAAAGCGUCGAAGCGUAGCGGUAUACUCAGCUCGUUUGCCGACUUUCGGUAC
rnacentral:sRNA from 1 species